AUAGCGUAUAUUAAAGUUGUUGCAGUUAAAAAGCUCGUAGUUGAAUUUUGGGUUUGGCCAAUUGGUCCGUUCUUGUAACGAGUACUGGUUGGUUGGGCCUCACCGCCUGGUGAUACGUAAUGUCCUUUAUUGGGUGUUGCGAGUAGCCAGGACCUUUACCUUGAAAAAAUUAGAGUGUUUAAAGCAGGCUUAUGCCGGAAUACAUUAGCAUGGAAUAAUAGAAUAGGACGAUGAUUCUAUUUUGUUGGUUUCUAGGAGCAUCGUAAUGAUUAAUAGGGAUAGUUGGGGGCAUUAGUAUUCAAUUGUCAGAGGUGAAAUUCUUGGAUUUAUUGAAGACUAACUACUG
rnacentral:rRNA from 1 species